rnacentral:lncRNA from 1 species
CAUUCAAAUGAGCACUGUGUUCUGAGAAGCCCCGAGGCCAGUUGGAAGAUGUACCAGUUCCCUUCAGUGGGCCCCCAGCUGACCUAUCGCACCGUUUUGGCUCCUCUGCUGUCAACCUUGACUUCCAGCCUAGACUUCCUCCUCUGAGAAGGCCAAGGUCCUAGGAACAGAGAUUAGGUGGCUUCUUGAUGUGUCCUUUGCUGCAUCGGAAGGACGUGGUCUGCAAACCGUUCAAUGUUGGGCUUUGCCGAGGGGCUUUCUCUUAUCUCCCACUCUCCUUCCUCAGAACAGAAUUCAGCUGGUUUCAAUGUGGGGAUUAACGUAACCCAAGUGAGCAAUCUACUCUUCUGCAUGGAGAAUACUCUCAGCUG